rnacentral:rRNA from 1 species
UACAGAGGGGGCAAGCGUUGUUCGGAAUUACUGGGCGUAAAGGGCGCGUAGGCGGCCUGUUAAGUCGAACGUGAAAUCCCCAGGCUCAACCUGGGAACUGCAUCCGAUACUGGAUGGCUUGAAUUCGGGAGAGGGAUGCAGAAUUCCAGGUGUAGCGGUGAAAUGCGUAGAUAUCUGGAGGAAUACCGGUGGCGAAGGCGGCAUCCUGGACCGACAUUGACGCUGAGGAGCGAAAGCCAGGGGAGCAAAGCGGG